rnacentral:misc_RNA from 1 species
GAAUUGCUUUGUGAUGAGGUGAAAAGGUAAAAGGAUCCUCCACAUCCAACAAAAUGCGAUCAAACACAACAGCCAUAUUGGAGAGUAUAAUUUUACUCGCAUUAGGAUUUCCACUUUGCAAAACCGCAUGUCGAUAAUUAUGAUAUAGUUCCACAAGGCCACUAGCAAUACUUGGAGAAAGCCUUCCAGCUUCAGAUUCAUUUUGAAUAUAAGAGAGCAGUUCUUGCUCGUUCCGCGGACGCAGUAACGGCCGCGAUCUCGCCUCCGACUCCAGCACCGCCCUGCAACCCCUCGCCACCGUCCCCUCCGCCGGCUCCGUCAUCGCCCGCGUAGGCUCCGUCAUCGCCCGCGUCCUAUACGCCACACAUGGGCAAUGCCACGGUUCCCGACGUAGCAUACUAACACGUCUUCUGCUCGCCGCCGGGAACUGAGGAGGCGUGGACAGCACCGGCGAGGUCUUCGGAUAGGUUUGCGGGGAGACGACAAAAGAGCUCAUCGGACAUCGGCAACGAUGAUUGGAGAUGCUGAUCUGAAUUUUAGGGUUAGGGUUUGAGCUCCGGCG